rnacentral:sRNA from 1 species
AUCUGUUGAGGACAGAUGAAAUGGAUGUGCGCAUCGAUACCACCGGCCGUGAGUAUUUUGCCUUCCCCCGCAAUCGCUUCAGUGCAGGGACCGAUGACGAUGUCCACCGCAGGUUGGGUGUCUGGAUUUCCCGCCUUACCAAUGGCAGCAAUACGCCCAUCUUUUAUACCCACAUCAGCUUUGACGAUCCCCCAAUGAUCCACAAUGAGCGCGUUGGUAAUUACCGUAUCGACCGUCUCGUUCGAGGGUCUCUGGCUCUGACCCAUGCCGUCAC